AAGACUAUACUUUUAGGGAUCAUUUCUUUAGUCCAUUAUUAGAGAAGUCUCUUUGAUAGUGCACAACACCAAAACCAUGAGGAAAAGUCAGAGCAUCCUUUCCUGAGCAUGACGCCAGUUCUAGGUGAUGCUUUUCCAACUACCUUUUACCAAUUAUGAUCAUUUUUUCUCUUUCUUUGGAAGAAGGUGAGGGAGAGAAUGCAGUUUGAGUGUU